AUCGUUGUGACUACCUUGCCCGUACACGUAUCUCUGGAAUCAAGCCUCCGUUAUUUUCGGAGAUAUAAGCAUAACAGGCAGUAGACAACAGUUGAUGCUCAAGGUCGAUUGUCACGGCAACGGAGCCAAAUUCAUACGAUUAAAAGCACAAAGCAUAAGGAAGUACUGCUAUUGUAAGCAAGCUCACUCCGAAGAACAAAGCGAAUCAAAAGUAGCACACAACCGGCGAUCUUCUGCGAAGCCUAUUUAGGCAGUGUCUUUAUCGAGACCGACGAAAAGCCCUCAAAAGAGGUAA